UGUAAGUGACAGAGACGGGGGCUGCGUUUCAGACAUACCCUCCUCCACUUACCCUCGCCUUAUGCCCGUGGGGGAAUCCUCGCAACCAUCUUUGUCGUUGGUCCAAAUGAUUAGCCAAGCAAGGGAACGUGUGGCAACGUGAGACCCUCAGCCCUCGUUUUUUGAUUGAGUUUGCGAGUGUACAGUUAUGUUCACUCCGGUCAGCUAAAACUUUAAACCAACAUUAAUAUGGGGAAGUCAACAUACAAGUCUUUUGUAAAACUCAGGUUAUCUGGAGUCGUUCGACAGUGCCCUGCUGAGAAAUACCCUGAAGCGGGGGCAUUUUGGGUACACAAGCACGAGGGAGCGGACACACCUUGCGUUUAUGGAGCACAACAAGAUGUGGGACAGAAACCAUCCAGGGAUACUGAACGGAGACGUGCAGUAUCAGCAAAUCUUCUGCAAGAGGACCAAACAGUUGGUGGUUAAGAAGCCCUACAUCACUUUUGACAGCCUUAUCCAGCUGGCCAUUCACCGCACACAGGACAAGCCCAUCGCCAUAAGCACAACGAGUCUCAGCUUCCCCAGCCCAUCAUUGCCAGUGUAACGAAGCCGGAUAAAGGACUACGGCUGCGUUUACGCAGGCAGCCCAAUUCAGACCUGAUUGGUCUUUUGACCAAUCAGAUCAGUUCUGAAAAAGAGCUGAUGUGAUUAAGACCAAUUAGUGGAAAAAAGAUCAGAAUUGGGUUGUCUGUGUAAAACACAGCUAAUUAUUAGAAUCGGGAUGUGCUACAUUAUGGUUGGAGGGAAAAGCUACAGGACAGUAGCUCUCCAGGAACAGGGUUAGAGAGCCCUUAUGUAGAACCAGCAUAAAAUAAAUGUGGAUCUUUUCUGUCAA